UACAGAGGGUGCGAGCGUUAAUCGGAAUUACUGGGCGUAAAGCGUGCGUAGACGGUUAUUUAAGUCGGGUGUGAAAGCCCCGGGCUCAACCUGGGAAUUGCAUUCGAGACUGAAUAGCUAGGGUACGGUAGAGGGAAGUGGAAUUUCCGGUGUAGCGGUGAAAUGCGUAGAUAUCGGAAGGAACACCGGUGGCGAAGGCGGCGUUCUGGACUGUCUCUGACACUGAAGAACGAAAGCCAGGGGAGCAAACGGG
rnacentral:rRNA from 1 species